rnacentral:ncRNA from 1 species
GAUCCUUUAGACCUUCAGAAUUUGAAGCUAGAGGUGUCAGAAAAGUUGCCACAAGGAUAACUGGCUUGUGGCAGCCAAGCGUUCAUAGCGACGUUGCUUUUCGAUCCCUCGAUGUCGGCUCUUCCCUUCAUUGUGAAGCAGAAUUCACCAAGUGUUGCAUGUCUAGUACCCAACAAUGAAUGAAUCAUCCCUGUCCCUCCCUUUUUGCAAUAAGAG